UACGUAGGGAGCAAGCGUUGUCCGGAAUCAUUGGGCGUAAAGCGCGCGUAGGCGGCCUUGUAAGUCCGUUGUGAAAGUCAAAGGCUCAACCUUUGAAAGCCGAUGGAUACUGCAAGGCUGGAGUCCGGAAGAGGCGAGUGGAAUUCCUGGUGUAGCGGUGGAAUGCGCAGAUAUCAGGAGGAACACCAAUAGCGAAGGCAGCUCUCUGGUACGUGAUUGACGCUGAGACGCGAAAGCGUGGGUAGCAAACAGG
rnacentral:rRNA from 1 species